UAACUACCCAUCAGAGGGGGAUAACAACUUGGAAACAGGUGCUAAUACCGCAUAACAGUUUAUGCCGCAUGGCAUAAGAGUGAAAGGCGCUUUCGGGUGUCGCUGAUGGAUGGACCCGCGGUGCAUUAGCUAGUUGGUGAGGUAACGGCUCACCAAGGCCACGAUGCAUAGCCGACCUGAGAGGGUGAUCGGCCACACUGGGACUGAGACACGGCCCAG
rnacentral:rRNA from 1 species